GACGAACGCUGGCGGCGUGCUUAACGCAUGCAAGUCGAGCGAUGAAGCUCCUUCGGGAGUGGAUUAGCGGCGGACGGGUGAGUAACACGUGGGUAACCUGCCUCAUAGAGGGGAAUAGCCUUCCGAAAGGAAGAUUAAUACCGCAUAAGAUUGUAGUAACGCAUGGUACAGCAAUUAAAGGAGUGAUCCGCUAUGAGAUGGACCCGCGUCGCAUUAGCUAGUUGGUGAGGUAACGGCUCACCAAGGCGACGAGGCGUAGCCGACCUGAGAGGGUGAUCGGCCACAUUGGGACUGAGACACGGCCCAGACUCCUACGGGAGGCAGCAGUGGGGAAUAUUGCACAAUGGGGGAAACCCUGAUGCAGCAACGCCGCGUGAGUGAUGACGGUCUUCGGAUUGUAAAGCUCUGUCUUCAGGGACGAUAAUGACGGUACCUGAGGAGGAAGCCACGGCUAACUACGUGCCAGCAGCCGCAGUAAUAC
rnacentral:rRNA from 1 species